UCUCGUAAAUGCGAAAGUGAGUGCGGAAAGACUAGUCUUGAGAAAAGAAAAGGAAUAAUAUUGUUUGAUUUUUUUUUUUUAAUUACUUUCAUUUUGUUGGGUCGGUGAAAUUCGUAUAAAAAGCCCAAAACGGGAAAGAGACCAAAAAGCCCAUAUCAUAACCGGGCAAAUACGAAAAAUGCCUCCCAAAUCUCUCUACAAUCAGAUCUGACUUCCAAUUCCAAGCGAUUAAGCGAGAGAGCGAGCUAGAGAGUCCGAGAGACUAGAGAAUCCCUAGGUUCCGUCGCUCGCGUCUCUGAGUAGACGACAUUCGAGAAUGGAGCUACGAACCCUAAAUCAUUUUCAUUGCCUUGUCCGGAACCGGAUCCGGAUCCGAACAAGGCAAUGAUUUAGGGUUUCGGAUGGUGCAAAGAGAAUGGUGAGAUCGUUGGUCUCUGCGUCGACGAUGAAGAUGACAACAAUCCAGAACGUAGCCAUGUAUCGCGGAUCAGGAUCUGUCUCAGAUUACGAUUCUAUUAUGGAGCUCGCCUCGUAUGAUGUGGUGGUUUGCUGGCCUUCUGGUCAAUGAUGCUUAUAAUGCAUAAAGUCUCACAUUUUGAUGUCCAGUCAUGCAUCCAAGCAGGUUAUCUUACCUGACGGUCGUGCAUCCACUUUUAGCACACCCAUUCUCUUUCCCACACCUUAGUUUAUCUCUUGGUACGGUGACUGUCAUUGUAAUCUACAUGCUUGGCUUCUGUUUGAUGCGUCUAGUACAUGUGUGUGUGUAUAUAUAUAUAUAUACGAAUCAUUAGUGGCUGGCAUUUUUACAUUUCUGAGCACAAAAUUGAUUUGGUAAUGAGAAAAGCCCCGUUAUAUUCUUGGCAGACUUCAGUUUUCCCCCUUUUUUUCUUUGUGGUUCUUAUUCCUUACUGAAGAAUGUGCAGGUCAUACAUUUAACUGAGCUCGCUCAGCCUCAUUGACAUUCGAGUUUGGUUAUGGGAUGUUACAUUUUACGGAUGGGUUUCCUUCAAACAGUGUAGCAGUUGCUUAACCUUGUUUCACAGGCGUUUUUCAAAUUUCCGUCAUUGUUUGCAGUUUUUUUCCCGCAUUGCAUGGUCUCCGUGUGUGUGUAUGUCUCUCUCUCUCUCUCUCUCUCUCUCGCUCGCUCUCGCAUCUCUCAUUUCUCAUCGGUCUCCUCAGAUCUCCUUUCAUAUGUUUCGGUUUAGGCGGUGGGAAAAUGAAGGCAAAGGAUGAAAGUCAAAUGGGAAAGAGGAUUGGAGUUGAAGCACGGCUGAUAUGGUUUUCCAAGUGUUUUUUAAUGUCUUUUUUGUUUAGUUUGUUAUAGUUCUAUGAUUAAGUAUUUCGAUUUGUUAUUUUAUUUUUUCAAUUUGCAGUCGAUAUUUUAAUCUCUGUUAAUAUGGAAAUGUCAUUACAUGUUAGGAGAUCAACAUUGGAUGACUGAAUGGUCGGCCCCAUAAUUCUCAGUAGGUUCAGUAAGUCCCAGUAGGUCA